UACGAGGGGGGCGAGCGUUGUUCGGAAUUAUUGGGCGUAAAGGGUGCGUAGGCGGUUCGGUAAGUUUCGUGUGAAAUCUUCGGGCUCAACUCGAAGUCUGCACGAAAUACUGCCGGGCUUGAGUGUGGGAGAGGUGAGUGGAAUUUCCGGUGUAGCGGUGAAAUGCGUAGAUAUCGGAAGGAGCACCUGUGGCGAAAGCGGCUCUCUGGGACGGUACUGACGCUGAGACGCGAAAGCGUAGGGAGCGAACAGG
rnacentral:rRNA from 1 species